GACGAACGCUGGCGGCGUGCUUAACACAUGCAAGUCGAACGAAGUGGCGAACGGGUGCGUACUACAUGAGUAACCUUCCCUCCUUUUUGGGAUCAGCCUUGGAACCGGGGUCUAAUCCCGAAUAAAGGGGGAUGGGCGCGCGGCCUAUCAGCUUGUUGGUGGGGUGAUGGCCUACCAAGGCUGUGACGGGGAGCAGGCCUGCGGGGGUAACCGGCCACAUUGGGACUGCGACAGUGCCCAGACUGCGACGGGAGGCAGGAGUGUGGGAUAGUGCACAAUGGGCGAAUGCCUGCUUACGCGGUGCCGCGUGGGGGAUGAAGGCUUUCGGGUUGUAAACCUCGUUCGCGAGCGAACGGGUAGGUGGAGAAGAAGCGCCGGCUAACUACGUGCCAGCAGCCGCGGUAAUAC
rnacentral:rRNA from 1 species